GAAUGUUGACCUCGAAUCAGGUAGGAAUACCCGCUGAACUUAAGCAUAUCAAUA
rnacentral:rRNA from 1 species